GGUUUUAUGGGGUAGCGGUUAGCCCCCGAGAUUCUGACUUGAGUCUUCUCGUGACCCCGGUUCGAAUCCGGGUAAGACCU